GUUGAAAGCUGGCGGUAUGCUUAACACAUGCAAGUCGUACGUAAGCAAUAAGAUAUUUAACCGUAUUUUAUAGCCAAAGUGGCGAACGGGUGCGUAACACGUAAGAACCUACCUUUUGGAGAGGGAUAACAGUGGGAAACCGCUGCUAAUACCUCAUAAUGCUGAGGAGCUAAAGGCCGAGAGGCCACCAAAAGAUGGGCUUGCGUCUGAUUAGCUAGUUGGUGAGGUAAUAGCUUACCAAGGCCACGAUCAGUAGCUGGUCUGAGAGGAUGAUCAGCCACACUGGGACUGAGACACGGCCCAGACUCCUACGGGAGGCAGCAGUGAGGAAUUUUCCGCAAUGGGCGAAAGCCUGACGGAGCAAUACCGCGUGGGUGAAGAAUGACUGUGGUCUGUAAAACCCUUUUCUUAGGAAAGAAGUUCUGACGGUACCUAAGGAAUAAGUGACGGCUAACCCUGUGCCAGCAGCCGCGGUAAUACAGGGGUCACAAGCUUUAACCGGAAUGAUUGGGCGUAAAGCGUCUGUAGGUGGUCUUUGAAGUCUACUGUCAAAUCCCAGGGCUCAACCUUGGAAAGGCAGUGGAGUACUCAAAGACUUGAGGUUUGUAGAGGUAAGGGGAAUUCCUAGUGGAGAGGUGAAAUUCGUAGAGAUUAGGAGGAACACCAGAGGCGAAAGCGCCUUACUGGGCCAAAACUGACACUGAGAGACGAAAGCUGUGGGAGCGACUAGGAUUAGAUACCCUAUUAGUCACAGCUGUAAACGAUGGAAACUAAGUGCUGUUUUUUCACAGUGCUGUAGCUAACGCGUUAAGUUUCCCGCCUGGGGAGUACGUUCGCAAGAAUGAAACUCAAAGGAAUUGACGGGGACCCGCACAAGCGGUAAAACCAAAAAUCUGCCGCGCCUUAGCAUAAGCUUAGGUAGUCUUUAAAUGCGGGCGGGUCCCUAUAAUAAGCAGCCUUUAUGUGAGCUUUAGCUUACAAAAAAAGGUAGGCAAUCAGCCAGCUCAUAACGGCGAAACCCUAAAGUGUUAAAAAAAACAUCAUGGCAACGCCGUGGGAAGUUGACUUUUUAAGCCCUUUUUAGUGCAUGUAUUCUUCUGUUUUAAUUCCGGCUCGAAGAAAUAAAAAGACAUUUGUUGCCAUUUUUCAAAAAGAAGAGAUGGCAAUUGCUUUUUUUUUAAAAACCGGAAUAAAAAACGAAGGACGAGUACAAGCCAUAAUUAAAACAAAAGGUAAAAAAACAAAGGAGAGCUUAAAAGGUUUAACCCCGUAACGACUGACUCGCCCUGUAUGUCGCAGGAAUUUUGACUUUUCACCCAUUAUCCAUAGUUUGACUGCUUUUUUUAUUUCUUCUUUUGCCGGAAUUGGAAUUAAAAAAGAAGACAAUCCCGAAGGGGUCUUACUUAGGGUAGGGGUUAAACAUAGAAAGUUAAAUAGAGAAGAGCCUUAAAAAGCUAAUACGCUGGCCCCUUUCGUAACCCAAAAUAAAACAAUUUAAUCAAUAAUAAACAAAUAACCGCGAAUUCUCGCUUGACGAAGCACUUAACAAAGUGCGGGCUCGAUUUAAAAAUAAAAAAAAUGAUUAAAAUAUUUGGUUUAAUGAGUGACUCUCAUUUUAGAAAGGUGAAGGCAUAGUCUGCUCUAUAUAGAAAUAUAUAGUCUAACAUUUGCAUAAGGGAUUAUGCGGUUUAAUUUGAUGAUACGCAAAGAACCUUACCAGGGAUUGACAUGCUAAGAAUUCCCUUGAAAGGGGGAAGUGCAACUAUUACUGAAAGCUUUGUUUUAAAAGCAAAGUGAUUGWUGAGCUUAGACACAGGUGGUGCAUGGCUGUCGUCAGCUCGUGCCGUAGGGUAUAUGGUUAAGUCCCAUAACGAGCGCAACCCUCGAAGUUUGUUAACAUUAAGUGAUAGACUUAAAGACUGUCUUCUAUUUAGUUCUAGCCCUCGGGUUUGGAUUAAAUUAGCUAGACACUUUUUUGUCAGCCUUUUUGUACUCUCUAACUUGACUGCCAGCGUAAGCUGGAGGAAGGUGAGGAUGACGUCAAGUCAGCAUGCCCCUUACACCCUGGGCGACACGCGUAAUACAAUGGUCGGGACAAUCAGCAACGAACUCGUAAGAGGGAGCUAAUCUGUUAAACCCGGCCUCAGUUCGGAUUGCAGGCUGCAACUCGCCUGCAUGAAGUCGGAAUCGCUAGUAAUCGCCUAUCAGCCAUGAGGCGGUGAAUACGUUCCCGGGUCUUGUACACACCGCCCGUCACAUCAAGAAAGCGGAUCACACCCAAAGGUGGUAGUCCAACCGUAAGGAGGGCACCAACUAAGGUGGGGUUCGUGAU
rnacentral:rRNA from 1 species